rnacentral:piRNA from 1 species
CAGAAUAUCAGACGAGAUAGGAGUGGUUC